rnacentral:rRNA from 1 species
UGCAGUCGAACGGCAGCACAGGGUAGCUUGCUAUCCGGGUGGCGAGUGGCGGACGGGUGAGUAACGCGUAGGAAUCUACCUUUUCGUGGGGGAUAACCCGGGGAAACUCGGGCUAAUACCGCAUACGCCCUACGGGGGAAAGCGGGGGACCUUCGGGCCUCGCGCGGAACGAUGAGCCUGCGUCCUAUCAGGUAGUUGGUGAGGUAAUGGCUCACCAAGCCGACGACGGGUAGCUGGUCUGAGAGGACGACCAGCCACACUGGGACUGAGACACGGCCCAGACUCCUACGGGAGGCAGCAGUGGGGAAUAUUGGACAAUGGGGGAAACCCUGAUCCAGCAAUACCGCGUGUGUGAAGAAGGCCUUCGGGUUGUAAAGCACUUUUAGCAGGAAAGAAAGACUAUGCGCUAAUACCGCACGGUUUUGACGUUACUUGCAGAAAAAGCACCGGCUAACUCCGUGCCAGCAGCCGCGGUAAUACGGAGGGUGCAAGCGUUAAUCGGAAUUACUGGGCGUAAAGCGCGCGUAGGCGGCUUGUUAAGUCGGAUGUGAAAUCCCCGGGCUCAACCUGGGAACUGCAUUCGAUACUGGCUGGCUAGAGUGUGGUAGAGGGAAGUGGAAUUCCAGGUGUAGCGGUGAAAUGCGUAGAUAUCUGGGGGAACAUCAGUGGCGAAGGCGGCUUCCUGGACCAACACUGACGCUGAGGGCGAAAGCGUGGGGAGCAACAGGAUUAAAUACCCUGUAGUCCACGCCGUAAACGAUGUCACCAGCCGUAGGAGCAUCUGGCUCUUUGUGGCGCAACUAACGC